CAGGAGGAGCGCUGCACUUGGCUGCGGCGGCCGCAGUCGCUGGCGCUACCCUCCGCACCACUCUCCGACAUAGAAUGCAAUAAAACGAAUGACGUGGUCGCCAUAGACAUAGAGCGUACGGAAUCCAUCAUAGAGGAUAGAGCGGACGCGACCACAGACACGCAAGAACGAACACUACUCGUUGAUUGAUGAAUACACGCUUAUUGCCAACGUUAUUGG